CUGAAAUCCACAAAACCUAAAAAUACUAUCUUUUGACAAUUUUAGUAUGAUAAACAGUUUUAUUUACUUUCAAGCCUACAAAGUUUUCGAAAUGUCGCAGUUGUCUUUGGACUCAUUAGAAGAUGGGACAUUUAGGAACUACAGAAACAAAAAUGCUUUGUCAAAAAUAGAUCAAUGUAACCUCAAAGGUAGAUUUUCAAAAUUGAAGCGACAAUCUUUUUAUUUAGAGCAGCAGGAAUUUACUAAUCUUAUUAGAGAUACCAGACCUGAUGAAACAGCGUUUCACGUUCCCUUCGACAAUAGAGGCAUUCUCUGCACCGGUGUGAUAAUUGCGAGGGACAAUAUCGAGAAAAUGCCCGGAAUGGAAUCCACGUCAUGUAAGAAACAUUUCGAGAGAGACUCAACUACAGGGCGUAUUCCGGUUCGACAGAAAUCACGCGGGAAAAGUGUAAUGGAACCGAAAUUUUCAUUGAGAAGCCGAUUUCGAGAUUCGUCGAAUAAAACAAACCUAUUGCUCUGUUCUCGUAGCGAUGCAAUUUUGGAGAAGAAUGAAAAAAAGCUGGGCAACGUAAUCUUGCCAAAAAUUGACUAUAAGCCUAAGACGUACCUUGAGCUUUAUCGACGGAAAUUCAGUGCAGAGAGAAAACAGUGUAUUUUUUCCCCGGAGGGUUCUACCCUGUCGAUUUGUGGUGACAGCCUGCACGAGCGACAUCUCACAGAUGUUGAUAGUCGAGGUUCUUCUUCGACCUCUGGGGAUGAUCAAAGCGAACUAAGUUUCUAUCGUCGUUUGAUGGAGCAAAACUUGCAAGAACCACGGACAGGCAGAUCCUGCGAGACCCUGGAUUGCGCCAAUCUUCAGAAUCAGCCUGUUGAAAUUGGAUUUUAUAGAGAUAAGCCCGUCUCAAGUAGCAUUUCUGAUAGUAAAUUGCGCUCGUCUAGGAGAAGUAUAUCCUAUCAACCAUAUACGAUCGAAGACUAUAAAACUCUCUCGGUCCCGAGGGCAGAUCGCUCCUUAGGACCCGAUCAAGUUGAAGUCGAAAAGAAAAGAGUAUGGUUGAUGCGACGUAAAUCGUACGGGGACAUGGCCAGCGCACGUAAUCGUCAAAAUAUCGCCCUUUAUGCGCGGAAACAUAAGGAUGUAAUGGAAGAGCAUAAACUAAAUGAAGCGAGGAAAAAUUCAAAUCGAGGUAACGAUGCUAGACGUUCCACGAGACCCUCACGUCCCAGGAAAGCAUCAUCCAUCAAGAUGUCGAUUUCGAGAUCAAAAUCCGUCUUGGAGUCUUCAAAUCACUGUCUUUCCAAAACUUCCUUCGCUCUCAUAGAAGAUCGAAAUCUCGAUUCCCUGCGACAGCGGCAUCUAAAUGAGAAAAGAAUGAUAGAUCAACUCAUUAAUCGGUCUUCGUUGCUUAUCUGACGUCCCUUUUCGAAAAAAAGAAAACUUGCAUAGUGAAGUGUCGGGAGUUGCCUGCAAAUAGCCUUAGCCACAUAUCAAAAGGAUCCAACAUUAACAAUCCUGCAAAAGAUAGUGCGCCUGAGAACAAGCUGAUACAACUUUACCCUCUUCACGGGACCUUCUUCGCUCACUUUCUCGCAAACAAAUUACCCCAGAGUUCCCGGUUGGCCAAGCGAUGAAAUAUUUAAACUUAAUUCCACCGUGAUAAGUUAUUCAUUGAAGGUUAUACUGAAGAUGUGGUGCUGAAUCAGAAGUGCUGCCGCAGUUCGGAAGAGGUAGUUAAUAAGUUUUCGGAUCUUAGAAGUUCAACGGCACCAAUUUUGCAAUAUG